AUGAACGCUAGCGGGAGGCUUAACACAUGCAAGUCGAGCGGGAUCCCCGGGCAACCGGGGUGAGAGCGGCGCACGGGUGCGUAACGCGUAUGCAACCUUCCUUGUGCAGGUGGAUAGCCCAUGGAAACGUGGAUUAAUACCCCGUAAGGCGCGGGCCCGGCAUCGGGCCUGUGCGAUAGCCCCGGCGGCACAAGGUGGGCAUGCGUCCGAUUAGCUAGAUGGUGCGGCAACGGCGCACCAUGGCGACGAUCGGUAGGGGUCCUGAGAGGGUUACCCCCCACACUGGCACUGAGACACGGGCCAGACUCCUACGGGAGGCAGCAGUGAGGAAUAUUGGUCAAUGGGGGCAACCCUGAACCAGCCAUCCCGCGUGCAGGAUGACGGCCCUAUGGGUUGUAAACUGCUUUUCCGGGGGAAGAACCCCCCGCACGGGUGCGGGGCUGCCGGUACCCCGGGAAUAAGCAUCUGCUAACUCCGU
rnacentral:rRNA from 1 species